rnacentral:rRNA from 1 species
GACGAACGCUGGCGGCGCGCUUAACACAUGCAAGUCGAACGGAAAGGCCUGCUUUCCCUUGUGGAUUGCGGGUACUCGAGUAGCGAACGGGUGAGUAACACGUGAGUGAUCUGCCCCCAACUUGGGUAUAAGCCUGGGAAACUGGGUCUAAUUCCCGAUAGGACUGCAGGGUGGUGCCUGUGGUGGAAAACGAUUUUCUAGUGGUUGGGGAUGAGCUCGCGGCCUAUCAGCUUGUUGGUGGGGUAAUGGCCUACCAAGGCGGCGACGGGUAGCCGGCCUGAGAGGGUGGACGGCCACAUUGGGACUGAGAUACGGCCCAGACUCCUACGGGAGGCAGCAGUGGGGAAUAUUGCACAAUGGGCGGAAGCCUGAUGCAGCGACGCCGCGUGGGGGAUGACGGCCUUCGGGUUGUAAACUCCUUUCGACCGCGAGGAAGCCACCUGGUUGGAAGGGUGGUGACGGUAGUGGUAGAAGAAGCACCGGCUAACUACGUG